rnacentral:rRNA from 1 species
UUUCGAAUCCUUCACAAUGGGCGAAAGCCUGAUGGUGCGACGCCGCGUGAGGGAUGAAGGCCUUCGGGUUGUAAACCUCUGUCACCGGGGAAGAAACGCUGCAUUUUAAUAGAAUGCAGCCUGACUUAACCCGGAGAGGAAGCAGUGGCUAACUCUGUGCCAGCAGCCGCGGUAAUACAGAGACUGCGAGCGUUAUUCGGAUUCACUGGGCGUAAAGGGUGCGCAGGCGGCCGAGUGUGUGAGGCGUGAAAGCCCGGGGCUUAACCCCGGAAUUGCACCUCAAACUACACGGCUAGAGCAUUGGAGAGGGUAGCAGAAUUCAUGGUGUAGCAGUGAAAUGCGUAGAUAUCAUGAGGAAUACCAGAGGCGAAGGCGGCUACCUGGACAAUUGCUGACGCUCAGGCACGAAAGCGUGGGGAGCAAAAGG